rnacentral:rRNA from 1 species
UACAGAGGUCUCAAGCGUUGUUCGGAUUCAUUGGGCGUAAAGGGUGCGUAGGCGGCGCGGUAAGUCGGGUGUGAAAUCUUGGAGCUUAACUCCGAAACUGCAUUCGAUACUGCCGUGCUUGAGGACUGGAGAGGAGACUGGAACUUCCGGUGGAGCGGUGAAAUGCGUUGAUAUCGGAAGGAACGCCGGCGGCGAAAGCGCGCUGCUGGACCCUCUCUGACGCUGAGGCGCGAAAGCCAGGGGAGCAAACGGGG